UUGAACGCUGGCGGCAUGCUUUACACAUGCAAGUCGGACGGCAGCACAGAGAAGCUUGCUUCUUGGGUGGCGAGUGGCGAACGGGUGAGUAACAUAUCGGAACGUACCGAGCAGUGGGGGAUAACUAAUCGAAAGAUUAGCUAAUACCGCAUAUCUUCUGAGGAAGAAAGCAGGGGACCAUUUGGCCUUGCGCUGUUUGAGCGGCCGAUAUCUGAUUAGCUAGUUGGUGGGGUAAAGGCCUACCAAGGCGACGAUCAGUAGCGGGUCUGAGAGGAUGAUCCGCCACACUGGGACUGAGACACGGCCCAGACUCCUACGGGAGGCAGCAGUGGGGAAUUUUGGACAAUGGGCGCAAGCCUGAUCCAGCCAUGCCGCGUGUCUGAAGAAGGCCUUCGGGUUGUAAAGGACUUUUGUCAGGGAAGAAAAGGGCGGGGUUAAUACCCCUGUCUGAUGACGGUACCUGAAGAAUAAGCACCGGCUAACUACGUG
rnacentral:rRNA from 1 species